rnacentral:rRNA from 1 species
UACGUAGGGUGCGAGCGUUACUCGGAAUUACUGGGCGUAAAGCGUGCGCAGGCGGUUUUGUAAGCCAGAUGUGAAAUCCCCGGGCUUAACCUGGGAAUGGCAUUUGGGACUGCAAGGCUAGAGUGUGGCAGAGGAGACUGGAAUUCCUGGUGUAGCAGUGAAAUGCGUAGAUAUCAGGAGGAAUACCGAUGGCGAAGGCAGGUCUCUGGGCUAACACUGACGCUCAUGCACGAAAGCGUGGGGAGCAAACAGG